AAAAUACAGAAAAUUAGCCAGGCAUGGUGGCGCACGCCUGUAAUCCCAGCUACUUGGGAGGCUGAGGCAGGAAAAUUGCUUGAACCCAGGAGGCAGAGGUUGCGGUGAGCUGAGAUCACACCAUUGCACUCCAGCCUGGGCAACAAGAGUGAGACUCCAUCUCAAAAAUAAAAAAGAUGGAAGCAUGUAUUUGUAUUUUGAGCAUCAAUAACUAGCACACAGCAAGAAGGAGGCCAUCAGCAAACUGGGAAGAGGACCCUCACCAGGAACCACAUCUGCCAGCACCUUGAUCUUGAACUUCUCAGCCUCCAGAACGGUGAGAAAUAAAUGUCUGUCGUUUAAGACACCCAGUACAUGGUACUUUGUU
rnacentral:lncRNA from 10 species